rnacentral:rRNA from 1 species
AACGAACGCUGGCGGCGUGUCUUACGCAUGCAAGUCGAGUGGCAAGGGCAGCCAUGCCCCUAGAACGGCGGACUGGUGAGUAACGCGUGGGCGAUCUGCCCUUGGGUUGGGGAUAGCCAUUAGAAAUAGUGGGUAAUACCGAAUACGUUAGCGAGUCUGUGGCCUUGCGAGGACAGGCGCUUCGGCGCCGCGCGAGGAUGGGCCCGCGUCCCAUUAGCUAGUUGGUGAGGUAACGGCCCACGGAGGCGAUGAUGGGUAGGCGGCCUGAGAGCGUGUACGCCCACAGUGGGAGUGAGAUACGGCACAGACUCCUACGGGAGGCAGCAGCUAAGAAUAUUCCGCGAGGGACGAAAGUCUGACGGAGCGACACCGCGUGGAUGAUGAAGGCCGAAAGGUUGUAAAAUCCUUUUGGCGGGGAAGAAGAAGCCUGGGAGGGAAUGCCCGGGUGAUGACAUGAGCCGGCGAAUAAGCCCCGGCUAACUACGUGCCAGCCGCCGCAGUAA